CACAGUCAGUCGGCACCGAGCGCGCUAACCGUUGUCGUCGUCGCCGUCACCGUCGCCGUGUCGUCGUCAUCGUCAUCGUCGUUGUUUUUAGAAGUAGUGCGAGUCUCUUCUCUUUUACCCGCAUUGCACACUGCACAAUAAAAUUAUAGCCGCCGCCGUCUACACGCGUAUUCGUUUCGGUGUUUUUUUUUCCCCUCUCGGUUUUCGACUAUUAUUCUCGCCGUGUUUUCCGUUCCGAUCGAAACAACGGCAAUAUUUCACACUGUACCCGUCAUUAAUACGAACCUGACGCGGUCGAUCGAGCCCGCGCGCUCGCAGUGUGCCCGUGCCCAAAUCGUCAUUAUUCCGAUCGUCGCGAAAUAAUAAUAAUAUUAUUAUUAUUAUUAUUAUUAUCGUUAUUAUUAUCAUCGUUGUUCACACCGCCCUUCGCGUUGCUGUUGGUUCCGCGUUUUUCGCGCCCGUCGAAAAUCCCGCGGAGAAAAAAAACGCUUAUUUCGUGAAUGCUCGUGCAGAAGCCUGGUCCACCGUAGUGGCCGGGGCAAACGGUAGCGGCGCGGACGGCGUGGCUGUUAUGCGGUUCGAGCAAGCGGACCUCAGGUGCCGGUCACCCCGUGGGGCGCCGGACACCCCGCAGACAGCGGCCGCGAUGACCGGCGGCCAACGUUCACCCGACACAUCGUACACGGCGGCCCGCGCGUCGUCCACCGACUUUUCCGUCAGCUCGUUGCUGACCAACAACAACAGCAACAGCAACAGCAACAACAACAACAACAACAACAACAACAGCAGCAGCAACAACAACAGCAGCAACGGCCAGCAACAGCAACAGCAGUACCCGCC